rnacentral:misc_RNA from 1 species
GAUGAAGAACGUAGCGAAAUGCGAUACUUGGUGUGAAUUGCAGAAUCCCGUGAACCAUCGAGUCUUUGAACGCAAGUUGCGCCCGAAGCCAUUAGGCCGAGGGCACGCCUGCCUGGGCGUCACACGUCGUUGCCCCCCCCAUCUACUCCUUCGGGAUUGCGGGGGGCGGAUGAUGGCCUCCCGUGUGCCUCGUCGCGCGGUUGGCAUAAAUGCCAAGUCCUCGGCGACGCACGCCACGACAAUCGGUGGUUGCGAAACCUCGGUUGCCCGUCGUGUGCGGUCGUCGCGCAUCGAGGGCUCGAAAAAAUUGCCGGGUUCCGGCUCGGCUUUCAACGCGACCCCAGGUCAGGCGGGGUUACCCGCUGAAUUUAAGCAUAUCAAUAAGCGGAGGA